rnacentral:rRNA from 1 species
GGCUGUCGUCAGCUCGUGUCGUGAGAUGUUCGGUUAAGUCCGCUAACGAGCGCAACCCUCGCCUGUGUGUUACAAGUGUCACACGGGAACCUGCCGGUCAUAAACCGGAGGAAGGUGGGGAUGACGUCAAGUCAGCAUGGCCUUUAUAUCCUGGGCUACACACACGCUACAAUGGGAAGGGACAAUAGGUUGCGAAGCCGCGAGGCGGAGCCAAUCCAGCAAAACUUCCCUCAGUUCAGAUUGCAGGCUGCAACUCGCCUGCAUGAAGUUGGAGUUGCUAGUAAACGCAGGUCAGCCAUACUGCGUUGAAUACGUUCCCGGGGCUU